GUUUUUCUAAUCCGCCAAGGUGUGCGCGCCCCCAUGGGGCCGCAUUAAACGGGAAGCCGGUGCGCUCGCAGGAGCAAACCCGGCGCUGCCCCCGCAACGGUAAUCGACCGCGAUCAGCCGAUCGCAGUCCGCUCAACGGCCACUGUGCACAGCACGGGAAGGCGAGCGGGCCGAGUCGAGAGCCCGGAGACCGGCCUGGACGGAUUCGACUGG
rnacentral:ncRNA from 2 species